rnacentral:rRNA from 1 species
UACGUAGGGUGCGAGCGUUAAUCGGAAUACUGGGCGUAAAGCGUGCGCAGGCGGUUCGUUAAGUUCGAUGUGAAAGCCCCGGGCUCAACCUGGGAACUGCAUUGGAAACUGGCGAGCUUGAGUAUGGCAGAGGGGGGUGGAAUUCCGCGUGUAGCAGUGAAAUGCGUAGAGAUGCGGAGGAACACCGAUGGCGAAGGCAGCCCCCUGGGCCAAUACUGACGCUCAGGCACGAAAGCGUGGGGACGAAACAGG